ensembl:piRNA 21ur-4337 ncRNA
UAUGUAGUAACAUUUAUGGAC